CCUACGGGAGGCAGCAGUGGGGAAUAUUGCACAAUGGGGGAAACCCUGAUGCAGCGACGCCGCGUGAGUGAAGAAGUAUUUCGGUAUGUAAAGCUCUAUCAGCAGGGAAGAAAAUGACGGUACCUGUUUAAGAAGCCCCGGCUAACUACGUGCCAGCAGCCGCGGUAAUACGGAGGGGGCAAGCGUUAUCCGGAUUUACUGGGUGUAAAGGGAGCGUAGACGGCAGCACAAGUCUGGAGUGAAAUGCCGGGGCUUAACCCCGGAACUGCUUUGGAAACUGUGCAGCUAGAGUGCAGGAGAGGUAAGUGGAAUGCCUAGUGUAGUGGUGAAAUGCGUAGAUAUUAGGAGGAACCCCAGUGGCGAAGGCGGCUUACUGGACUGUAACUGACGUUGAGGCUCGAAAGCGUGGGGAGCAAACAGGAUUAGAUACCCUUGUAGUC
rnacentral:rRNA from 1 species